AACGCACAUUGCGCCCCUUGGUAUUCCGAGGGGCAUGCCUGUUCGAGCGUCAUUUCACCAAUCAAGCCACGCUUGGUAUUGGGCGCGCGGCCUCUUUUAUUAGAGGCCCGCCCGAAAUGCAUCGGCGAGGAAACCGACCCCCGGCGUGUUAGAUUUCUGAACGUCAGGCGCACCGGUGCCCUCAGCCGUACAAUCUUUUUUUCUAAGGUUGACCUCGGAUCAGGUAGGAAUACCCGCUGAACUUAA
rnacentral:misc_RNA from 4 species